UUAAGUUCAGCGGGUAUUCCUACCUGAUCCGAGGUCAACCUUAAAAAAUUGGGGGUUUUAUGGCAAAAACUACAGAACCUUCCAAAGCGAGAAAAAAUUACUACGCUCAGAGGCCACUGCGGCUCCGCCACUAGAUUUAAGGAACUACAAACGUAGAUUCCCAACACUAAGCCAGGCUUAAGUGGUCAAAAUGACGCUCG
rnacentral:misc_RNA from 1 species